rnacentral:misc_RNA from 1 species
AAAUGCGAUAAGUAAUGUGAAUUGCAGAAUUCAGUGAAUCAUCGAAUCUUUGAACGCACCUUGCGCUCCUUGGUAUUCCUUGGAGCAUGCCUGUUUGAGUAUCAUGAAAUCUUCAAAGUAAAUCUUUUGUUAACUCAAUUGGUUUCUACUUUGGUAUUGGAGGUCUUUGCAGCUUCACACCUGCUCCUCUUUGUUCAUUAGCUGGAUCUCAGUGUUAUGCUUGGUUCCACUCGGCGUGAUAAGUUAUCUAUCGCUGAGGACACUGUAAAAGGUGGCCAAGGUAAAUGCAGAUGAACCGCUUCUAAUAGUCCAUUGACUUGGACAAUACUUUUAUGAUCUGAUCUCAAAUCAGGUAGCACUACCCGCUGAACUUAAGC